ensembl:lncRNA
CUCAAAUGGCCCCAAGAUGUCCCCAAAGGUGCUCAAAUGGCCCAAAGGGGACCCCAAAUAGGAUCAGAUGUCACAAAAGGUCCCUAAAUGGGCUCAAAUGUCCCCAAAGGGUCCCCAAAUGGGAUCAGAUGUCACAAAAGGGUCCCCAAAUGGGCUCAAAUGGCCCCAAAGGGUCCCCAAAUGGGAUCAGAUGUCACAAAAGGGGACCCCAAAUGGGAUCAAAUGGCCCCAAAGGGUCCCCAAAUGGGAUCAAAUGUCACCAAAGGGCCCCCAAAUGGGAUCAGAUGUCACCAAAGGGGACCCCAAAUGGGAUCAGAUGUCACCACAGGGUCCCCAAAUGGGCUCAAACGACCCCAAAGGGGCCCCCAAAUGAACCCAAAUGGGCUGAAAUGUCCCCAUGGUGUCCCCAAAUGCCCCCAGGUCACCCCAUAGUGGCCCUAUGAUGUCCCCCCAUAGUGCCCCCAUAGUGUCCCCAAAUACCCCCAUGAUGUCCCCCAAAUGCCCCCAUAGUGUCCCCAAAUGUCCCCCAACGCCACUAUAGUGUCUGUAUGAUGCCCCCAAAUCCCCCCAUGAUGCCCCCCUAUGCCCCCAUAAUGUCCCCAA